rnacentral:rRNA from 1 species
AGAGUUUGAUCAUGGCUCAGGACGAACGCUGGCGGCGUGCUUAACACAUGCAAGUCGAACGGUGACAGGGGAGCUUGCUCCCCUCGAUCAGUGGCGAACGGGUGAGUAACACGUGAGUAACCUGCCCCAGACUCUGGGAUAACAUCGGGAAACCGGUGCUAAUACCGGAUAUGAGACGAGACUGCAUGGUCAUCGUCUGGAAAGAUUUAUCGGUCUGGGAUGGACUCGCGGCCUAUCAGCUAGUUGGUGAGGUAACGGCUCACCAAGGCGACGACGGGUAGCCGGCCUGAGAGGGCGAACGGCCACACUGGAACUGAGACACGGUCCAGACUCCUACGGGAGGCAGCAGUGGGGAAUAUUGCACAAUGGGCGCAAGCCUGAUGCAGCGACGCCGCGUGGGGGAUGAAGGCCUUCGGGUUGUAAACCCCUUUCAGCAGGGAAGAAGCGAAAGUGACGGUACCUGCAGAAGAAGCGCCGGCUAACUACGUGCCAGCAGCCGCGGUA